AUUGAACGCUGGCGGCAGGCCUAACACAUGCAAGUCGAGCGGAUGAAGGGAGCUUGCUCCUGGAUUCAGCGGCGGACGGGUGAGUAAUGCCUAGGAAUCUGCCUGGUAGUGGGGGAUAACGUCCGGAAACGGGCGCUAAUACCGCAUACGUCCUGAGGGAGAAAGUGGGUGAUCUUCGGACCUCACGCUAUCAGAUUAGCCUAGGUCGGAUUAGCUAGGUGGUGGGGUAAAGGCCUACCAAGGCGACGAUCCGUAACUGGUACGAGAGGAAGAUCAGUCACACUGUAACUGAGACUCAGUCCAGACUCCGACGGGAAGCAGCAGUGGGGAAUAUUGGGCGAGGGGGGAGAGCGUGAUACAGCCAAGCCGCGUGUGUGAAGAAGGUCUUAGGAUUGGAGAGCACUUUAAGUUGGGGGGUAGGACAGUAAGUUAAUACCUGACUGUUUUGACGUUACCAACAGAAUAAGCACCGGCUAACUUCGUG
rnacentral:rRNA from 1 species